rnacentral:tRNA from 1 species
CCCGAAGGUGGUCGGCGGCUACACGACCGCCUGCCGCGACCGGGCGACCGAGUUCUACGCGCGGUUCGUCGAGCGGGUCGUCCCCGUCUCCGGAAC